UAUAAUGUAGUUUAUUUAAAAUACUUGUUUUACACAUAAGUGAACUCUUUUGAGCGCUAUUA
rnacentral:tRNA from 1 species